rnacentral:rRNA from 1 species
UACAGAGGUCUCAAGCGUUGUUCGGAUUCAUUGGGCGUAAAGGGUGCGUAGGCGGCGCGGUAAGUCGGGUGUGAAAGCCCCGAGCUUAACUUGGGAGUUGCGCUUGUGACUGGCGUGCUGGAGUGUGGCAGAGGGAGGUGGAAUUCCACGUGUAGCAGUGAAAUGCGUAGAGAUGUGGAGGAACACCGAUGGCGAAGGCAGCCUCCUGGGCCAGCACUGACGCUCAUGCACGAAAGCGCUGGGGAGCAAACAGG